AUUGAACGCUGGCGGCAGGCCUAACACAUGCAAGUCGAACGGUAACAGGAAGCAGCUUGCUGCUUUGCUGACGAGUGGCGGACGGGUGAGUAAUGUCUGGGAAACUGCCCGAUGGAGGGGGAUAACUACUGGAAACGGUAGCUAAUACCGCAUAACGUCGCAAGACCAAAGAGGGGGACCUUAGGGCCUCUUGCCAUCGGAUGUGCCCAGAUGGGAUUAGCUAGUAGGUGGGGUAACGGCUCACCUAGGCGACGAUCCCUAGCUGGUCUGAGAGGAUGACCAGCCACACUGGAACUGAGACACGGGCCAGACUCCUACGGGAGGCAGCAGGGGGGAAUAUUGCACAAUGGGCGCAAGCCUGAUGCAGCCAUGCCGCGUGUAUGAAGAAGGCCUUCGGGUUGUAAAGUACUUUCAGCGGGGAGGAAGGGAGUAAAGUUAAUACCUUUGCUCAUUGACGUUACCCGCAGAAGAAGCACCGGCUAACUCCGUG
rnacentral:rRNA from 1 species